GUCUUUGUGGCUUAGUAAAUACCCUGGCCAGAGCGCUGGGUUCAUAGAAAUAUGAUCUAGUUUCCCAAAACCGGGAUAUCCAAAGGUCGUGAGUUCGAGCCUCACCAAGGACA